UAGCUUUUAUAAAGGAUCAUUUAUUAAUUAUAUAUAAUAUAUAGAAAAUAAAUACAAAUACAUAAAUAUAAAUAUCAAUUAUAUAUAAAUAUAAAAUUAUAUAUAAGUUAAUUAGAUAUAAAACAUAUUAUAUAUGUAAUUUCAUUAAUUAAUUUUACAAAUAGAAGUACAGAGAUGUAAAAAAUUUUUCAAAGUAACGGCUGAACUCCCAAACCAUCUCUUGUCCCAAACUAGCGUUCUUUGUUAGGAAGAAGCUUCGAAAUGGCAAAUACGGAUGAUUAAUGGCGGGGCCUCUGAUAAACUUUCAGUAUGGAAAGGAAAAGAGAGUUUCCACACAAAGAGCAAAUUUCUGAUUUUAUCCCCUUCCUAAUAAAUCCUGCUUUCUCUUUGCAAACGCUCCAUCCAUCGGUGGGAGGUGUCUGUUUCUAGGGACAACCAGGAAGGUCCUGGGGAGGGAGAAGAAGCAGGUAAACUUCCUAUUUCAUCCGGGCCCCCGCAGCUGUGACCGGAUCAUCUCUCUUUCUUUUGGGGAGGGGGAGUCCUCUCUUCUUAUGUUUCCUCCUAGGUACGGGUGGGAGAGACGGCGAGGCAGGGCAGGAGAAGAUGUCCAGAGGAGCAGAAGCCAAGUUGUUUACAUUCCCACCCCCUCACCCUGGGAAGCCCAAAGUUCCCACACUCACUGAGGCAAGAAGGUCGCCAUGGACACCUCCUCUGUCUCUCUUUGCUGACUGUGUAGAGAUAAGUAGCAGCUGCUGGAAUCGAGUCACCUCGCAGAUCGCCUCUGGGAUCCCUCUGGUCAAACAUCAUCCUCCUUGGCAAGAGAAAACAGAAGCAAAAUAAGUAAAAGUAUUUAUGACUUUCAUCUGCCAUCCAUUAUCAAUUUUAUCAUGAUAUUUUGUUCUAUGGCUUCAAUGGGUGGUGCAGUAUCCACUAUCUGGCAACCUAUGACUUGGAAUAUAGAAGGAUGUUUCAAAGUCUAUGGACAGAAGCGAAAAUUGUGUCUGAAAAAAAGCCUGUAUAAAUGACCCAAAGAGACUCCUCCAAUCAUUACUCAUUGAGACAGGUAGGUGGUACAGCAGAUAAAAAGCUGGACUUGGGAGUUGAGAAGAUCUGAGUUUAAAUUCAG
rnacentral:lncRNA from 1 species